rnacentral:rRNA from 1 species
GAUGAACGCUGGCGGCGUGCCUAAUACAUGCAAGUCGAGCGAACAGACGAGGAGCUUGCUCCUCUGACGUUAGCGGCGGACGGGUGAGUAACACGUGGAUAACCUACCUAUAAGACUGGGAUAACUUCGGGAAACCGGAGCUAAUACCGGAUAAUAUAUUGAACCGCAUGGUUCAAUAGUGAAAGACGGUUUUGCUGUCACUUAUAGAUGGAUCCGCGCCGCAUUAGCUAGUUGGUAAGGUAACGGCUUACCAAGGCGACGAUGCGUAGCCGACCUGAGAGGGGGAUCGGCAACACUGGAACUGAGACACGGUCCAGACUCCUACGGGAGGCAGCAGUAGGGAAUCUUCCGCAAUGGGCGAAAGCCUGACGGAGCAACGCCGCGUGAGUGAUGAAGGUCUUCGGAUCGUAAAACUCUGUUAUUAGGGAAGAACAAAUGUGUAAGUAACUAUGCACGUCUUGACGGUACCUAAUCAGAAAGCCACGGCUAACUACGU